AGUCUUAUAGUCAAAUAUGAUUUUAAAUUGCAAAUUUAAAGGUGGACUUUCUUCCUAAGGCUU
rnacentral:tRNA from 1 species